rnacentral:rRNA from 1 species
CCGCUUGCAGGGAAACAGAUGGACCCACGAAGUCCAGUUGGGUAUGAGAUUCAUAUUUUUAAAUUGGUCCUAUUAGAUGUAACUCCUUCUCUGAAGGAAGCAUUUAUGUUUGACCAUUUUGAAGAUGCAUUUCUCAUAUCCACGAUGGAGCUCUGACUUCUUGUGAAGGCUUGAUCGUUUGUAGCAGCUCUUUAUUGUGGUAUGUUUUUUCGGAAUCAUUUCACUUUAGAGAGUAAGCGUUCAAGCUGCAGUGAGAAGGUGAAUUUCCUACAUUUGUAGGUUUGUCAGGUUGUCGACUGACACUGUGUGCAGAGCAUGAUUGAGAGAUGAAUUUCGGCUCUUGUAGUUGAAACCGUUUUUCACAUUGUGUUCAUAUGUACGCAGUUGAAGUCAAUGAUAAUCCAGAGUAAGUAGGUCGGUCAUCCAUCUGACCCGUCUUGAAACACGGACCAAGGAGCCCAACAUUUGCGCGAGUCGCUCGGUCUUGAAUAGGCCUGAGAGGCGAAAUAAACAUAAUGGUAUGAUCCUUUGACAUCCUUCGGGAUUAAGAGGCGCAAUACCAACCUGCUUUACUUGCUUUUUGCAAUGAAGUGGCGUUCGAGCGUAAAUGUUGGUACCCGAAAGAUGGUGAACUAUACUUGGGCAAGACGAAGCCAGAGGAAACUCUGGUGGAGGUCUGUAGCGAUUCUGACGUGCAAAUCGAUCGUCAGACCUGAGUAUAGGGGCGAAAGACUAAUCGAACCAUCUAGUAGCUGGUUCCCUCCGAAGUUUCCCUCAGGAUAGCUGGCACUACAACUCUGUAGCAUCCGGUAAAGCGAAUGAUUAGAGGUAUUGGGAUCGAAACGAUCUCAACCUAUUCUCAAACUUUAAAUGGGUGCGAGGCAUGACUUUUUUGAUUUAAAGUCUUGCUUUGUAAGAGUAGUGCCAAGUGGGCCAUUUUUGGUAAGCAGAACUGGCGCUGUGGGAUGAACCAAACGUAGAGUUAAGGCACCAAAUGCCGACGCUCAUGAGACCCCAUGAAAGGUGUUGGUUGCUCUAGACAGC